GCUCUACGGCUUAGAGUUUGAUCCUGGCUCAGAUUGAACGCUGGCGGUAUGCUUAAGACAUGCAAGUCGUGCGGUAGAGGGCUUCGGCCUUUGGGAGCGGCGGACGGGUGAGUAACACGUGGGAACCUGCCUAUUAGUGGGGGACAGCCCAGCGAAAGCUGGAUUAAUACCGCAUACGCCCUACGGGGGAAAGCAGCAAUGCGCUAAUAGAUGAGCCCGCGUAAGAUUAGCUAGUUGGUAAGGUAAAGGCUUACCAAGGCGACGAUCUUUAGCUGGUCUGAGAGGAUGGCCAGCCACAUCGGGACUGAGACACGGCCCGGACUCCUACGGGAGGCAGCAGUCGGGAAUAUUGGACAAUGGGCGCAAGCCUGAUCCAGCAAUACCGCGUGUGUGAAGAAGGCCUUCGGGUUGUAAAGCUCUUUUGUCCGGAGCGAAAAGGUGUCGGUGAAUAUCCGACGCUACUGACGGUACCGGAAGAAUAAGCACCGGCUGACUACGUGCCAGCAGCCGCGGUAAUACGUAGGGUGCGAGCGUUAAUCGGAAUUACUGGGCGUAAAGCGUGCGCAGGCGGUUUUGUAAGCCAGACGUGAAAGCCCCGGGCUUAACCUGGGAAUGGCGUUUGGGACCGCAAGGCUCGAGUACGGCAGAGGGGACUAGAAUUCCUGGUGUAGCAGUGAAAUGCGUAGAUAUCAGGAGGAAGACCGAUGGCGAAGGCAGGUCCCUGGGUUAGUACUGACGCUCAUGCACGAAAGCGUGGGGAGCAAACAGGAUUAGAUACCCUGGUAGUCCACGCCCUAAACUAUGUCGACUGGUUGUUGGGGAUUUGACAUCCUUAGUAACGAAGCUAACGCGUGAAGUCGACCGCCUGGGGAGUACGGCCGCAAGGUUAAAACUCAAAGGAAUUGACGGGGACCCGCACAAGCGGUGGAUUAUGUGGAUUAAUUCGAUGCAACGCGAAAAACCUUACCUACCCUUGACAUGCCAGGAAGGCUCCAGAAAUGGGGCUGUGCCCGAAAGGGAGCCUGGACACAGGUGCUGCAUGGCUGUCGUCAGCUCGUGUCGUGAGAUGUUGGGUUAAGUCCCGCAACGAGCGCAUCCCUUGUCAUUAGUUGCUACAUUCAGUUGGGCACUCUAAUGAGACUGCCGGUGACAAACCGGAGGAAGGUGGGGAUGACGUCAAGUCCUCAUGGCCCUUAUGGGUAGGGCUUCACACGUAAUACAAUGGCACGUACAGAGGGUUGCCAAGUCGCGAGACGGAGCCAAUCCCAGAAAGCGCGUCGUAGUCCGGAUCGGAGUCUGCAACUCGACUCCGUGAAGUCGGAAUCGCUAGUAAUCGCGGAUCAGCAUGUCGCGGUGAAUACGUUCCCGGGUCUUGUACACACCGCCCGUCACACCAUGGGAGUGGGUUCUACCAGAAGCAGGUCGCCUAACCGCAAGGGGGGCGCCUACCACGGUAGGAUUCAUGACUGGGGUGAAGUCGUAACAAGGUAACCAAGCUCAAUAAGACC
rnacentral:rRNA from 1 species